GACGAACUGUGCAAACGUUAUUCGGAAUCACUGGGCUUGAAGAGUGCGUAGGCGGUUUUGUAAGUAGGGUGUGAAAGCCCCCGGCUCAACCGGGGAAUUGCGCCCUAAACUGCAAGGCUGGAGUGAGGUAGGGGUGUGUGGAACUUCUAGUGGAGCGGCGAAAUGUGUUGAUAUUAGAAGGAACGCCGGUGGCGAAAGCGACACACUGGACCUUGUCUGACGCUGAGGCACGAAAGCCAGGGGAGCAAACGGG
rnacentral:rRNA from 1 species